rnacentral:lncRNA from 1 species
GAAAGACAAGGAGGAGAUGGACAUGAUUCCUUGCUGGAGAUUUGCUCACCUGGCCUUUGUUUGGUGUCGCUCAGCUACUGGAACGAGUCGAGGAACAGGUGCUAUUCUGAGUACUUCACAGGGAUUACAGAAUUGAAGUCCCAAGAGAACUCAGGUGAGGGAACAGUGGCUCAGAAAGGUCGAGCUAGUUGCCCAGGCUCACAGAGCUGGUAUGUGACAGCGCUGGGACCUGAAGCCAAGCCACCUGCCAGCAGGGUCCAUGCUCUUCACCACUGCCUGACACCAUCACUCCCCCGUGAGACAAAGUUGGUCCCCAUGGCCCACAAGGAUGUAGAGGACAUAUAGUUGUCACUGCUGGUAGCAGGCAUUGCCUUGGUACCCCUCGAUCCCCUGAGUGCUCUGCAAUGGCGAUGUUUAGGCACUGUGUUCAGUGAAUGACUGAAUGAAUGAAAUAAAGAAUGAAUGCACACAUGCAAAUGACAGGCCCCAAUCAAGCUCCAGAAUCUGAAAAGAAAUCCUCACAUGCUUUUUGCUAGAUGUGAGUAUGACCAAGAUGAGACUCCUGGAACCUUCCUCCUAACCUGAGAGUGGGUAGUUUGUCUUCCUCACUUCCUCUAGGAAAUGUCUUUGAUUGCUGGGAAACCUGCCCUGUCUUCCAGCAUCCUGAGAGAACGGAGGGUGGCUUAGAGUUUCAUGGCUCUGUCCCCUCCAUGGGGGUUCACCAGCUGUGAUAGAAUUUUGCCUUGGUGCUCUCCAAUGGACGAUGUCUCCUAGAAUUCACACUUUGAUGGGUUCCUCCCUCAUUACCUCUGGCGUUGGCUUUCUUUGGCUGUUGGGUUCUUAGCAAGUGCGAUGCAAGCAAAGGCUUCAUAUGUGUUUGCACAUCAGGCUUGUCUUCUCAGGAUGAUCUCUCUUGGAGGCAGCCGCCGCACUAUAAGGAAGUCCAGGCUAAAUCACUGAAUAAUACGAAGCCAUGGGAGAGAGGCUCUGCUGGGGAAGAGGCCAUUUGGACAUUCCAACCCCAGCCAAGCUCCCAGUUGAUUGCAGCUGCUGAGUGAGCCCAGCCAACCUCCCAGCUGACCCAGUCAACCCACAGAUUUGGGAGAAAAAAUAUAUUGUCAUUGUUUUAGGCCACUAAGGUGUGCGUGGUUUGUUUUGCAGCCAUAGGUAAUUGAAGUACUG